rnacentral:rRNA from 1 species
UAAUACCCUGAGGGGAUGACGGUACCGGAAGAAUAAGCACCGGCUAACUACGUGCCAGCAGCCGCGGUAAUACGUAGGGUGCAAGCGUUAAUCGGAAUUACUGGGCGUAAAGCGUGCGCAGGCGGUUCGCUAAGACCGAUGUGAAAUCCCCGGGCUUAACCUGGGAACUGCAUUGGUGACUGGCGGACUGGAGUAUGGCAGAGGGGGGUAGAAUUCCACGUGUAGCAGUGAAAUGCGUAGAGAUGUGGAGGAAUACCGAUGGCGAAGGCAGCCCCCUGGGCCAAUACUGACGCUCAUGCACGAAAGCGUGGGGAGCAAACAGGAUUAGAUACCCUGGUAGUCCACGCCCUAAACGAUGUCAACUGGUUGUCGGGCCUUCAUUGGCUUGGUAACGUAGCUAACGCGUGAAGUUGACCGCCUGGGGAGUACGGUCGCAAGAUUAAAACUCAAAGGAAUUGACGGGGACCCGCACAAGCGGUGGAUGAUGUGGAUUAAUUCGAUGCAACGCGAAAAACCUUACCUACCCUUGACAUGGAUGGAACCU